rnacentral:lncRNA from 1 species
AUGGCUCUCAGGUGGGUCUACCCCGGUUCCCCUCCUUUGCUAUUUGAGUUUUUCUGGUCACUUCACUCACCCCGUCCUUCCCCUGUUCCCUCCCCAGGGAGAAAUGGGUCCUCCUGGUUUGCCUGGUCCCCAGGGCCCCAAGGGUCCAGCUGGGAUGGAGGGAUCCGCUGGUCCCAAAGGAGACACCGGCACAGACGGUGUCCCCGGGCCGAGGGGACAGCUGGGCCAGGAGGGCCCUGGGGUAAGUCCAUGGGAGCAGGUGGCUGGGUGAGGGAUGCCCUCGUCCUUCCCCCUCGCAGCACCCAAAGCACCACGGAGGAAUGCCCUGCUCCCCCCUGCUAUCCCCAGCCCCCCACAAAGUUUGUGGCACAAGUGCUGGUGCAGAUGAUGGCCACGUCCCUCUGGCCACGCUCAUC